GUGACACCGAUCAUAACAAUGAUGACGAUAACAAUAACGAUGACUAUGUUGACAUGAACAGGCAGCGAAGAAGAUGGAGCGUCAGCCCAGCCUGUGCUCCCAGGUCUCUAUGAUGCAGAUGAGGAACAGCAUGGGCAGCACCAGUGACACCGAUGACAUCCUGAACCAGAUCCACCGUGGAGGCUCCAGUGGAUCCUCACAUCCUGUGAAUCAACCCACUCUCUCAGAUCACACCUUGCCCUGAAGGGGGUAAAAAUCUCCUGGCUCCAAGACAUCCAAAACGAUGAAGCCUAUUGAAGAACAAAUGGAAGAUGACGUCUUUAUAGAGUCUGAGUCAGACUCUCCUGUUAAGAAACGCCACACCCACUCGACAGCCAUAGAGGUGUAAGAUGUGACAUUAUCCUACAACAACAGUGCUGACCACCCACCUAUAUUGUAAUCUGAUACAGACCCUGGUUAGUUAUGGUAGAAUAACUUAAACAAUAGCUUGAAAAAGGCUUUUACAUUAUCAAAAUAUCUAUGUACAUGUAUCUAGAAAACGGAACUGCACAUUUUGGCAUCUCACUUUGUCUUGUAGUGUUUGGUAUUAUUGUGAGUUUGUAGCUGUUGUACUUUUUAAAUCCUGUUUGAUUGGAUGUUGUACAAUGCCUUUGCUGUUCAUUCCUACACAGUGAGUGUUCAAAAAAGUAUUAAGUGUCACAACCAAAACAUUUUAGUGUAAGCACAACCUCUGAGGAAGGUUUCUUUUAAAUAUUUUACUCAUUGUGUGACAUAUUGUGUGAUAAAUUCUCUUAUUUAUGCACUGAGCUUCUGCAUGGUUGUGUGUUGAUGAAUGUAGAGAUUUAACAAGUUAAACCUCCUGGUCAAUGCUAACCAUUUGAGGCUGUUGUGCUGUUUUUUCACGGCUAUAAGUACACAAGCUUGGGAUCACUCUUUUAUGCCAUGAUUGUUACCUUGUUACCAUGAUUAAUUACUCAGAGGGAACACCUGAAAAAGAAAUCAACAGAAUUGAUGCAUAGCUCGUAGACCUCUGCUUUUUAUCCUCUAGCGCCCUCUAGGAGCUAUCAUGAGUACUACCGGUUUCUUUUCUCAUUCUGAACUCCUGUCACUGUUAAACCAGGUCAAUGUUCAAACUCAUUCCAUGGAGGGCGUGUUUUGGUUUUUCCUUUCAAUUAAGAUCUAGACAACCAGGUGAGGGAAGUUCUUUACUAAUUAGUGACCUUAAUUCAUCAAUCAAGUACGAGGAGCCAAACAGAAACUCGGCCCUUCGUGGAAUGAGUUUGACACGUGGUUUAAACCAUCACAUCCCUGAAAGAUCAACCAGACCAAAAGAAGAUGUAAGCAACAGGCUUUAUUAUUUCAGUCAAAUAAACCUUUUGAAUAUCCA